GGAGGUUAUGGAAGCUUUAGUA
rnacentral:siRNA from 1 species